rnacentral:piRNA from 1 species
UUGGGAUCUCUGCGGAAGGGGUC